UACGUAGGGUGCGAGCGUUGCUCGGAAUUACUGGGCGUAAAGCGCACGUAGGCGGCUUUCUAAGUCGGUGGUGAAAUCCUGGAGCUCAACUCCAGAACUGCCUUCGAUACUGGAGAGCUUGAGUCCGGGAGAGGUGAGUGGAACUGCGAGUGUAGAGGUGAAAUUCGUAGAUAUUCGCAAGAACACCAGUGGCGAAGGCGGCUCACUGGCCCGGUACUGACGCUGAGGUGCGAAAGCGUGGGGAGCAAACAGG
rnacentral:rRNA from 1 species